rnacentral:rRNA from 1 species
GAUGAACGCUGGCGGCGUGCUUAACACAUGCAAGUCGAACGGUGAAGCCAAGCUUGCUUGGUGGAUCAGUGGCGAACGGGUGAGUAACACGUGAGCAACCUGCCCUGGACUCUGGGAUAAGCGCUGGAAACGGCGUCUAAUACUGGAUAUGAGACGUGAUCGCAUGGUCGUGUUUGGAAAGAUUUUUCGGUCUGGGAUGGGCUCGCGGCCUAUCAGCUUGUUGGUGAGGUAAUGGCUCACCAAGGCGUCGACGGGUAGCCGGCCUGAGAGGGUGACCGGCCACACUGGGACUGAGACACGGCCCAGACUCCUACGGGAGGCAGCAGUGGGGAAUAUUGCACAAUGGGCGGAAGCCUGAUGCAGCAACGCCGCGUGAGGGAUGACGGCCUUCGGGUUGUAAACCUCUUUUAGCAGGGAAGAAGCGAAAGUGACGGUACCUGCAGAAAAAGCGCCGGCUAACUACGUGCCAGCAGCCGCGGUAAUACGUAGGGCGCAAGCGUUAUCCGGAAUUAUUGGGCGUAAAGAGCUCGUAGGCGGUUUGUCGCGUCUGCUGUGAAAUCCCGAGGCUCAACCUCGGGUCUGCAGUGGGUACGGGCAGACUAGAGUGCGGUAGGGGAGAUUGGAAUUCCUGGUGUAGCGGUGGAAUGCGCAGAUAUCAGGAGGAACACCGAUGGCGAAGGCAGAUCUCUGGGCCGUAACUGACGCUGAGGAGCGAAAGGGUGGGGAGCAAACAGGCUUAGAUACCCUGGUAGUCCACCCCGUAAACGUUGGGAACUAGUUGUGGGGACCAUUCCACGGUUUCCGUGACGCAGCUAACGCAUUAAGUUCCCCGCCUGGGGAGUACGGCCGCAAGGCUAAAACUCAAAGGAAUUGACGGGGACCCGCACAAGCGGCGGAGCAUGCGGAUUAAUUCGAUGCAACGCGAAGAACCUUACCAAGGCUUGACAUAUACGAGAACGGGCCAGAAAUGGUCAACUCUUUGGACACUCGUAAACAGGUGGUGCAUGGUUGUCGUCAGCUCGUGUCGUGAGAUGUUGGGUUAAGUCCCGCAACGAGCGCAACCCUCGUUCUACGUUGCCAGCACGUAAUGGUGGGAACUCAUGGGAUACUGCCGGGGUCAACUCGGAGGAAGGUGGGGAUGACGUCAAAUCAUCAUGCCCCUUAUGUCUUGGGCUUCACGCAUGCUACAAUGGCCGGUACAAAGGGCUGCAAUACCGUGAGGUGGAGCGAAUCCCAAAAAGCCGGUCCCAGUUCGGAUUGAGGUCUGCAACUCGACCUCAUGAAGUCGGAGUCGCUAGUAAUCGCAGAUCAGCAACGCUGCGGUGAAUACGUUCCCGGGUCU